UUUCCUACGGGUGGCAGCAGUGAGGAAUUUUGCGCAAUGGGGGAAACCCUGACGCAGCAACGCCGCGUGAGUGAUGAAGGCUUUCGGGUCGUAAAGCUCUGUCAAGUGGGAAGAACCUGCUUUGUGAUAAUACCACGAAGCACUGACGGUACCACUGAAGGAAGCACCGGCUAACUCCGUGCCAGCAGCCGCGGUAAUACGGGGGGUGCUAGCGUUAUUCGGAAUCAUUGGGCGUAAAGGGCGCGUAGGCGGUCUCUUAAGUCAGAUGUGAAAGCCCUCGGCUUAACCGAGGAAGUGCAUUUGAUACUAAGAGACUUGAGUAUGGGAGAGGGAAGCGGAAUUCCUGGUGUAGCGGUGAAAUGCGUAGAUAUCAGGAGGAACACCGGUGGCGAAGGCGGCUUCCUGGACCAAUACUGACGCUGAGGCGCGAAGGCGUGGGGAGCAAACAGGAUUAGAUACCCCUGUAGUCC
rnacentral:rRNA from 1 species